rfam:Caenorhabditis briggsae complete genome, chrII
UCCCAGUUAUAAGUAGUAGUGCCGCAGGUAACCGCUUCCAGAAAAUUGGUUUACCUACUGCCUUCUGCUUAGAAUUGGGA